GUUUCUCUGUGUGGCCUUGGCUGUCCUGGAACUCACUCCGUAGACCAGGCUGGCCUCAAACUCACAGAGAUCCACCUGCCUCUGCCUCCCAAAUGCUGGGAUUAAAGGCGUGCGCCACCAACGCACG
rnacentral:miRNA from 1 species